UGGGGAAGUAUUGGACAAUGGCGGAAGACCUGAUCCAGCCAUGCCGCGUGUGUGAAGAAGGUCUUCGGAUUGUAAAGCACUUUAAGUUGGGAGGAAGGGCAGUAAGUUAAUACCUUGCUGUUUUGACGUUACCGACAGAAUAAGCACCGGCUAACUCUGUGCCAGCAGCCGCGGUAAUACAGAGGGUGCAAGCGUUAAUCGGAAUUACUGGGCGUAAAGCGCGCGUAGGUGGUUUGUUAAGUUGGAUGUGAAAGCCCGGCGCAACCUGGGAACUGCAUCCAAAACUGGCAAGCUAGAGUACGGUAGAGGGUGGUGGAAUUUCCUGUGUAGCGGUGAAAUGCGUUAGAUAUAGGAAGGAACACCAGUGGCGAAGGCGACCACCUGGACUGAUACUGACACUGAGGUGCGAAAGCGUGGGGAG
rnacentral:rRNA from 1 species